ensembl:lncRNA novel transcript
AUGGUUUUGGUUGUAGGUGUCGGUGCGGUGUGGACAUUGCCCACGGAGGGCACAGAGCAGCAAGACCCAGGAGGGAGAUAUUUCCCGAGUUCUCCACACACCAGGAUGUUUGAGAGAAGAGCCAAGUCUUGGUUUUAUGACAGUGAGACAAGAACACAGAGAGAAAAGGAGAAGAGGAACAAGUGGCUCUCGGAUACUGAUGAGUUAUAAAGAGAAGAUCCUGAAGGAAUUCACUGUGAGUCAGGCGCUCCCGCACUUGGCGUCUGAUGGCUGUUCUCCUUAAAGGAGUACCGAGAGAUCCUCCCUCAGGAUUGCUAUCCCAAGAGAGUGGAGGCUUUUCUCCUGUAGCUCCUUUUCAAAGGUGCAAGUGCCUUCUGUGCUUUCUGCUCUCAUCUGGAGGAAUUCUGCCCUUACCUACUCACCUGUUUUUUUCUUUAUUACAAAGCAGGCACAGGGCUGCCACUGACUACACGAUGAUGGGAGGAUGGACGCCGCCUUCAGGAGCUGGAGGAGCAGAAGACGUGAACAAAGGUGCUGUCCAGGCAGAGGCAGAAAUCAUGGUCAGAUCCCGAGGAAGAGCAAGACGAGUUCAACUGUGUCCUGAGGCCUCCCCAGAAACUGAGAAGAUGCCAGAGUCAUGCCUCCUGUACAGCCAGCAGAACUGUGAGCCAAUUAAACCUUUUUUGUUUAAAA